UAAAACAGCCUGAUGAAAAGGAAGCAUUUUUAUCUAUCAUUUUGUUAAACAAAAUACCCACAGAUUAUAACACAUCUGUUUUGUUGAAAAUGCAGGUGAAGGACAAGAGGUGAUUUACUUUGGUGAAGUCAAAGGGGAACUGUGACUUCCUGCAGCAGGAAACCACCUUCUGCAGAAAGAAGUUUCCAGGGGUAGAAACACAAUCUGACUGUCAGCAGCCUGCCGGUAAAACAUCAACUGGAGCAGUAACAACCAGCCAAAGACAUUCUUGAGCUAAGAAGAAACACAUAAUUUUUCCAUCAAAGUCUAGAAGAGACGAAAAUUUCAGGGUUCUUUAUUCAUACAGCUACAACCUCAGGAGAGCUCCCUGAUCUCCCCUCCUCCCUUUCCCUCUUCUGCCAAGUGUGCAGACACAGAAAGCGAUGCCAGGCUGAUACGGUAGGUUUGAUUCUGCUCUCAUGGGCAGUGAUGAUGUGUCAGGAGGAAUGCUGCGAGGGUCUGAAAGCCUGCACCAG